UGGGGAAUUUUUCGCAAUGGGGGAAACCCUGACGAAGCAACGCCGCGUGGAGGAUGAAGGCCUUCGGGUUGUAAACUCCUGUCGACCGGGACGAAAGCGCCUCGGCCUAAUACGCCGAGAUGUUGACUGUACCGGUGGAGGAAGCCACGGCUAACUCUGUGCCAGCAGCCGCGGUAAUACAGAGGUGGCAAGCGUUGUUCGGAAUUACUGGGCGUAAAGGGCGCGUAGGUUGUCUUGUAAGUCCUGUGUGAAAUCCCUCGGCUCAACUGAGGAACUGCACAGGAUACUGCUCGACUUGAGUUCGGGAGAGGGACGCGGAAUUCCGGGUGUAGCGGUGAAAUGCGUAGAUAUCCGGAGGAACACCGGUGGCGAUGGCGGCGUCCUGGACCGAUACUGACACUGAGGCGCGAAAGCUAGGGGAGCAAACGGG
rnacentral:rRNA from 1 species